UACAAUUGCCGUUUAAUCAGUACUACCAUGGUUUUAUUGUGUGCACGUAAAAAACGUUUCCAGUAAAAAUAGGAAAGGAAAGUAAUGGGAAAGAGUAUGCGAGAUGUUAUAAGUUAAUUGAUUUCGCAAUUUUUCAAAUAACGCAAGACAUCAUCAUUAACACAGAUCGACAGACAGACAAGGAAGUGGACUUGAUUGUUUACACCGCACGUUGGCACACUGACACAAUCUAGCAUCGAUUUGUGAUGUAAUUAAAAAUGAAUUAGACGAUCAUCUUCAUUUCCAACUCGGAAGUUAUGUAGCGGUUUUAAACGUAGUUUUUAUUUAUGUUGGCAUUGAUUGAACAUGUUUUCAAAUGGCAGAAGAUAUUUGUUGUUUAACAUCUUGAUUCAAUACGUGUAUCGAUGGGCAAAGAAAUCAACGCAUUUAGACAAGCCGCCAAAAUCUUUAAAAUAGUUCGGUUUUAUAAUGUUGGCAAUAAGUAAGUACGGGUACUCAUUUUUCUUCUUCUAAUCACAUUUUAACAAUGUUAACAUUGUAUAACCAUUGUUAUGGAAUAAAUUGGUAACAUAU